UGAAUACGAGACGCUAAGGCGUCGAAGUAGUGUAUGUCAUACUUCCAAGAAAAGCUUGCACUGUCAUAGAUAAAAAACGCCUGUACCAUAACCGACACAGGUGGGUAGGUAGAGUAUACUAAGGGGCGCGAGAUAACUCUCUCUAAGGAACUCGGCAAAAUAACUCCGUAACUUCGGGAGAAGGAGUGCCUUAUUAUUAAGGCUGCAAUAACAAGAUCCAAGCAACUGUUUAUCAAAAACACAGGUCUCCGCUAAGUCGUAAGACGAUGUAUGGGGGCUGACGCCUGCCCAGUGCCAGAAGGUUAAAGAAGUUGGUUAGCAUUUGCGAAGCUGAUAACUGAAGCCCUGGUGAACGGCGGCCGUAACAAUAACGGUCCUAAGGUAGCGAAAUUCCUUGUCAGGUAAGUUCCGACCCGCACGAAAGGCGUAAUGAUUUGGAUACUGUCUCGGAGAGGGGCUCGGUGAAAUAGACUUGUCUGUGAAGAUGCGGACUACCUGCACCAGGACAGAAAGACCCUAUGAAGCUUUACUGUAACUUGAAAUUGAAAUUGGACUUUAUUCGCGCAGCAUAGGUGGGAGGCGUUGAUUAUAAUCUUGUGGGAUUAUUGGAGCCAUCAGUGAGAUACCACUCUUGUAAUGUUAGAUUUCUAACUUUGAAUCAUUAUCUGGUCAAAGAACAGUUUCAGGCGGGCAGUUUGACUGGGGCGGUCGCCUCCUAAACGGUAACGGAGGCGUACAAAGGUUUCCUCUGAACGGUUAGAAAUCGUAUCUAGAGUGUAAAGGGAUAAGGAAGCUUGACUGUGAUACCUACAAGUCGAGCAGGGACGAAAGUCGGUCUUAGUGAUCUGACGGUACUGAGUGGAAAGGCCGUCACUCAACGGAUAAAAGUUACUCUAAGGAUAACAGGCUGAUCUCCCCCAAGAGUUCACAUCGACGGGGAGGUUUGGCACCUCGAUGUCGGCUCAUCGCAUCCUGGGGCGGUAGUACGUCCCAAGGGUUGGGCUGUUCGCCCAUGAAAGCGGUACGCGAGCUGGGUUCAGAACGUCGUGAGACAGUUCGGUCCAUAUCCGGUGUAGGCGUUAGAAUAUUGAGAGGAGCCUUCUUUAGUACGAGAGGACCGAGAAGGACAUACCUCUGGUGUACCAGUUAUCGUGCCAACGGUAAACGCUGGGUAGCUAUGUAUGGAGUGGAUAACCGCUGAAAGCAUCUAAGUGGGAAGCCCACCUCAAGAUAAGUAUUCUCC
rnacentral:rRNA from 1 species